UCUUCAAGUUCACUGUCCAACAGGAUGAGCAUAUUGUUAUCAUCCUCAGACACUCCGAUAAUUGUCAGCACCGCUUCGAGGAUCUGGCGCUCAACGAUCUGGUGAAAAAAAAAAAAAAACAUCCACACUUAGGGUUAAGGUCCAUCAACGCCUCUUCUCUCCACAAAGUUACCUCCAGGAGUUUUGUUCCAGACCUCAAAGAAAGGUCCAGGAGGGGAUACUGGGCCCGAGUCAUCCUGGCCACUUGCAACUGGAAAACAACAGCCCAGUGUCACAGAUGAGUGUAUCUCAGCCCUGGUUCAGACUCAGGUACCCAGGUCUUGUGAAGAUCUCCUGUUCUUCCCCGGUUACAAAUGGGGAAGGAGGACAGAGGACCUCUUUAGCAGCUCUCUCUGCGUCCUCGGUUAUGGCCAAUGGGGAGGUUUUAAAUUUCCUGCUUGCCCGGUUUAAAAAAAUACACUGCCGGCCAUAUUGUUUUGUGAGGGUAUAAUUUUUAAUGAUAUAUGACCCACCCUCUUCAAACUCUGGGUCACUUCCAUUUUUUAUUGAGGUGUACCAUGUCUGUCCAUCAGUGAGGGCUGACAGUGUGGUCACCUUGUAUGCGCCAACAUCAAUUAUAUUGUCUUUUGUGACAAAAUUUAAAGCCUUUUGGCUCCUGCGGCUACCCACACACUUCACUUUCAGCGGUGCUUGCUGACUGUAGGGGGUUGCCAUCCUAAGAAUAAUACAAAAAAGGUAUGGUUAUAACUUUCACAAUGUUUCUAUUGACUUUAUAAAACAUGAAAAUAUCAUUCAUGACCUGUAUAUAUAGCCUACUUAUAACAUUUAAUUACUAAUUUACUAUUUAUAUAUUUUUCUUUCUAUAUUUCUAUUACUGUACUUUUGCAUAAUAUCUUUUUUUUCAUUUUCUUUAUAGUGUUUCAUUAAUUUGUGAAAUUAUCUUUUUUUUUUUUUACUUCAUAUUUCACAGGAAUGUAUUUAUUCAAAAAUACAAUCUAAUGAAGUAAAAUUUCUAAUGAAGUAACGCUUUACCUCAGAAAAUGAACUCAGCCUUAGCCAUAACCCUAUAGACGGCCCCUUUUUCAAUACCUAACUUUU